AUACGAAGGGGGCUAGCGUUGUUCGGAAUUACUGGGCGUAAAGCGUACGUAGGCGGUUCGUUAAGUUAGAUGUGAAAGCCCCGGGCUUAACCUGGGAACUGCAUUUAAAACUGGCGAACUAGAGUUGAGUAGAGGGGAGUGGAAUUUCAGGUGUAGCGGUGAAAUGCGUAGAGAUCUGAAGGAACACCAGUGGCGAAGGCGACUCCCUGGACUCGAACUGACGCUGAGGUACGAAAGCGUGGGUAGCAAACGGGAUUAGAUACCCCAGUAGUCC
rnacentral:rRNA from 1 species